rnacentral:rRNA from 1 species
UACGUAGGGGGCAAGCGUUGUCCGGAUUUAUUGGGCGUAAAGAGCGUGUAGGCGGUUUGGUAGGUCCGCUGUGAAAACUCGAGGCUCAACCUCGAGACGCCGGUGGAAACCAUCAGACUAGAGUCCGGAAGAGGAGAGUGGAAUUCCUGGUGUAGCGGUGAAAUGCGCAGAUAUCAGGAGGAACACCGAUGGCGAAGGCAGGUCUCUGGGCUGUAACUGACGCUGAGGAGCGAAAGCAUGGGGAGCGAACAGG